GACGAACGCUGGCGGCGUGCUUAACACAUGCAAGUCGAACGGAAAGGCCCUGCUUUUGUGGGGUGCUCGAGUGGCGAACGGGUGAGUAACACGUGAGUAACCUGCCCUUGACUUUGGGAUAACUUCAGGAAACUGGGGCUAAUACCGGAUAGGAGCUCCUGCUUCAUGGUGGGGGUUGGAAAGUUUCGGCGGUUGUGGAUGGACUCUCGGCUUAUCCGCUUGUUGGUGGGGUAGUGGCUUACCACGGCUUUGACGGGUAGCCGGCCUGGGAGGUUGACCGGCCACAUUGGGACUGAGAUACGGCCCAGACUCCUACGGGAGGCAGCAGUGGGGAAUAUUGCACAAUGGGCGGAAGCCUGAUGCAGCAACGCCGCGUGCGGGAUGACGGCCUUCGGGUGGUAAACCGCUUUCGCCUGUGACGAAGCGUGAGUGACGGUAAUGGGUAAAGAAGCACCGGCUAACUACGUG
rnacentral:rRNA from 1 species